GCAGAAGGACAGCUGGCCUGUGAAAUUUACCUAGCUGCCUGGGUGCUUGGACCUUUAACUUCUUUGUUGUAAGUCAAAAUUAGGCUGUUUUUAAAAAUAAAUUAUUACCUAUUCAUACUGCCCUCCUCUUCCCCCCACUCCAUAUUUUGUCUGGUCUUCUGACUAAAGUGGUGAUCACCAAUUCAACUGGCUACAGAAGAAGGUUAAGAAGGACCCCAGGAAGAAAUGUGAUUAGGAAAGUCACUGACUACCGGUUUAGCAAGAGAGGCCCAGCUGGAGGAGGGCAGGUGCAACUAUCAGGACAGACUAUCCCUUAGAGCUCCAUCAAACUGGAAAGAUACAAGAAAAGGGAAUUCUGGGAAAUAUGACUCAGCCUAGCCAAGUGGGCAUGUUACAAAGCCAUCAUACCUUCCGGUCCUCCCACUGCAAAGGUGUUGUCUGCUAGAGGUACACUGACUGACCAUCCACAGUACCCUCCACAUCCCAGUUGGAAACACCUGCAAUCAAGUUAUUUUACUACCUUGGGAUUUCUCCAAAAUAGUGGGGGAAGUCAGCUGCCACGUUAUGAGUGGCGUCGUGGAGAGGCCCGUGUGGUUAAGGAAGCCUCUGACCCACAGCCACAUGCCUGGGCCAUCAUGGACAUGGAUCUCCAGCCCCCGUCAAGUUUUAGAUGAUCUCAACCCCUGCCAAGACCUUAAUGAUCACUUGCUCUGGGAGAAGCCAGCAGCCCUGUGAAGAGGGCCAGGUGGUGAAAAACUGAGGUUGCUGGCCAAAGACCAAGGCUUCUUUCCAACGGCCAUUUGCCUGGGCCCUCUCGGACACAGAUCCUUUAAUCCCAGUGCAGUUUCAGAUGACUGCAGCUCUGGCCAGCAUCUUGACAGUAACCUCCUGAGACAGCCUGAGCCAGAACCACCUAGCUAAGCCACUCCCAGAUUCCUGACCCUCAGAAACGGAUUCCUUCAGUGCCUAACAGACAGAGGUUUCCUGGUGGUUUUCUCUGAAAUCCUGGGCUGGAAGUUUGAGGGGGCUCUCUCCUUCCCUACCCUGAUGCAUCCACCGCUCUUCUUUCUCAGACUUUCACUAAAGGUCCUGGAACUUCUGCUUUUUGUAAAGUACGUUGGCUUUUCUCCUUAACACCAAUUUCUGAUUUCUUCUACCUCUCCUAUAUGGCUUUAAUGUCUUCACUGGGGCUUAGCUGCCUGAUUUAGCAGCGGGAACCCCACAAAUACACCAGGUGUUUCUUCCUGUGCUUCUGUCAGGAAGAGAGUUCCUUGAAGUUAAUGAGGCACUCACUUGCAAGGAAUAUCAGAUAAAAGAAGAGCAUUUACCUUUAAAGUAGAAGUUCUCAUUUCUCUUAUGGGCAAACCAAGGAUGGGAACCUAAUUCCUCAGCCUUGAAUUUGAGAACCUCACCCUGAAUUUGACCCCAAAUUAUCCUAAUAUAUUUAUCUACUUUUUAUUUUGAAAGUAUGAAAAAGUCGAGAAUUAGUACAAUGAACACAUAUAUACUCUCCACUGAAUUCAAAUGUUAAUAUUUUGCUCCA